rnacentral:rRNA from 1 species
CCUACGGGAGGCAGCAGUGGGGAAUAUUGGACAAUGGGGGGAACCCUGAUCCAGCGACGCCGCGUGAGUGAAGAAGUAUUUCGGUAUGUAAAGCUCUAUCAGCAGGGAAGAAAGAAAUGACGGUACCUGACUAAGAAGCCCCGGCUAACUACGUGCCAGCCGCCGCUGUAAUACGUAGGGGGCAAACGUUAUCCGGAUUUACUGGGGGUAAAGGGAGCGUAGACGGCGAUGCAAGUCUGAAGUUAAAGACGGGGGCCCAACCUCCGGAAUGCUUUGGAAACUGGAUGGCUGGAGUGCAGGAGAGGUAAGUGGAAUUCCGAGUGUAGCGGUGAAAUGCGUAGAGAUUAGGAGGAACACCAGUGGCGAAGGCGGCUUACUGGACUGUAACUGACGUUGAGGCUCGAAAGCGUGGGGAGCAAACAGGAUUAGAUACCCGAGUAGUC